rnacentral:rRNA from 1 species
UGGGGAAUAUUGCACAAUGGGCGCAAGCCUGAUGCAGCCAUGCCGCGUGUAUGAAGAAGGCCUUCGGGUUGUAAAGUACUUUCAGCGGGGAGGAAGGGAGUAAAGUUAAUACCUUUGCUCAUUGACGUUACCCACAGAAGAAGCACCGGCUAACUCCGUGCCAGCAGCCGCGGUAAUACGGAGGGUGCAAGCGUUAAUCGGAAUUACUGGGCGUAAAGCGCACGCAGGCGGUUGAUUGAGUCAGAUGUGAAAUCCCCGGGCUUAACCCGGGAAUUGCAUCUGAUACUGGUCAGCUAGAGGCUUGUAGAGGGGGGUAGAAUUCCAUGUGUAGCGGUGAAAUGCGUAGAGAUGUGGAGGAAUACCGGUGGCGAAGGCGGCCCCCUGGACAAAGACUGACGCUCAGGUGCGAAAGCGUGGGGAGCAAACAGG